rnacentral:lncRNA from 1 species
GUUCGUUUUUCUGAGUAAUAUGGAAAUGGCACGGCUCAGCCACACAAGGGCCUGGGCAAAGGUCACGGCCAGCAAAGAACACAGCCUGGGUCCUCUGAGUCCCGAGUCCACGCGAUCCUGACCCGUCCACCACCCUCCUCGAGACACGACAAGUUAGGCGGGAACAUAACCUGGGAGCCCCAUGUCGGUUUCAGGCUCCACAAGGGAUCUCUGGGUAAAGGGUUUGUCUCUUCCACAUCUGUUCAUUUAGGAGAAGCAAAGAACAUGGAAAGCAGAAUUCCUGGGGGUGGCCUCAACCCCAAGCCCUGCCGAUGCAAACCGGCACCUUGAAGAUGCCUUUGGAAUUUAACUGGAAGAUUUGAAUGACAUGGGCAGACACAGAAGAGGGAGAAGCAUUCCACAGGGGAGGAAAGGCCUCAGUGGGGACCUAUGGAGCUCCCAGGCCCACCGCAGGGAGGCAGGUCCUCGGUCAUCUGCGGAGGGAGAACACUUUCAGUCGAAGGAGCCUGGGACCCUUGACACAGAAGUGACAUGUGCAUUCGGAACCUCUCUGUGGAAAACACAGACCCUUCAUGACACGCAAACUCGAAGCCGGUGAGGCCGAGUCUCAGGGCUGCGCCAACCAGGAAGCCUGGCUGUCCAAUGUUCCAAAUCUGGAUGUGAAAUGGACCAUGCAGACAGGACCCAAGGGGCAUGGGGGAGCUGGCAGAGGCACCCGGGACAAGUGGGGAAGCACCUGUCGGCCAGGAAGGUAGAGAGGCACCUACCCCAGAACACGGUGCCAGCGUCACACUCUUAUUAACAGAUGCAAUAACCACCUUCGGAGACCAGACCCCUCAAAGAGCACUCAGCCCACAAUGUGACGCAGAGAAACCAGAGACCCAGGCAGGGAGUGCACCCACGGGGACACUCCGAGGGUGGCCUCCUGCCUGCCCUGAUUACUUAAAAAGGAGAUUCUUGGAAACCUUUGCGGGCCCACAGGUGCACCCUGACUCCCAGGGAUGGGGGCUGAGCCACCCAGGAAACAAAUAUGAAAUCAAAGAUCCAGACAGCCCUGACCCUCCUGAUUCCAGGGUCCAUAAAUAAGUCAUUCU